CGAAUGGGCGCAAGCCUGACCGAGCGACGCCGCGUGCGGGAUGAAGGCCUUCGGGUUGUAAACCGCCGUCGGAGGGGAGGAAAUAUCUAGGGGUUCUCCCCUAGGUUUGACCUAUCCUCAGAGGAAGUACGGGCUAAGUUCGUGCCAGCAGCCGCGGUAAGACGAACCGUACGAACGUUAUUCGGAAUCACUGGGCUUAAAGGGUGCGUAGGCGGCCUAGCAAGUCGGGUGUGAAAGCCCUCGGCUCAACCGAGGAAUUGCGCCCGAAACUGCUGGGCUUGAGGGACACAGAGGUAAGCGGAACUAAGGGUGGAGCGGUGAAAUGCGUUGAUAUCCUUAGGAACACCAGGAGCGAAAGCGGCUUACUGGGUGUCUUCUGACGCUGAGGCACGAAAGCUAGGGGAGCGAAGAGGAUUAGAUACCCUCGUAGUCCUAGCCGUAAACGAUGAGCACUGGUUUGGAGGCCCCCCCAUAGGCUUCUAGACGUAGCGAAAGUGUUAAGUGCUCCGCCUGGGGAGUAUGGUCGCAAGGCUG
rnacentral:rRNA from 1 species